GGGAGUGCGGGGGGCGCCGUCGCGCGGGCCUGGCCCGGGCGCGCGCGCGCUCCGUGAGGGGACCCCCGUGAGGGUGGGUUGACCCCCGUGAGGGCCCGUGAGGGGGUUGGGCCGCGGCCCUCGCCUGUCGCCAGCCUCCGGUCCCCACAGCCCGGCUGGGGCUGGCAGGCGCCGUCCUCGGGGGCAGAGCUAGGCGCGGGGAGGCCGCCUGGGCCCUGAGGAGGCCGCGCCGGUUGUGGGGCGGGGCCGCGCCCCAGGCCUCGGGGGGAGCAGCGUCCGGCACGGCCGGGGGCCCGGUACUCGGUAAAGGAUGAGGGACAAGACACGGCUGCGGCCGGAGAUGCAGCCGAGCUCUGGGCGCGCUGUUCCCCGGGGUCGUGGCCCCCGCUGAGCCGCCGGUAGAUUCCUAACGAGCUCCGUCGGCUGGCCGCGGGCAGCGCCGGUGGGCCUGUGGUAGGCGCCUUCCCUCAGACCAACUCCUCUCUUCCCGGCAAGCCCUGCUGGCAGCCACAUUCCUCUGUGCUUAGCAUACCGACGCAGCCUAAAAAUAGUUGCUGCUCCUCCUCAGUGGAAGGAAAAAUGGCUCUGGAGAGGCGGUAGGGAAGGGGCUGGAGAUGAGGCCGGGCAGGAAUCCUGGAGAGGAUGAAGUUCUGUUCAGAUGGCAGCUUACGGAGAAGGCCCGUGCAGAGGUUAGAAGGGUUCGAUGAAUUGAAAGCAGAAGGAAAAGGCCUGAGAUGAGCAGAAUUUGCUUCAAGUUGAAAGUGCUCUUGAUCUACUGUGUCGUUUUAAGCUCCUGACCCUUUGUGGCAAGCAUGGACAGAGCUACUUCAGUGACCACUCCUCUCCAUUGGAAGGGCAAAACAAUAUUCAAGGGAGGAUGUGACAUGGAGCUGCCCACAUCCUCUGAGAGACAGAAAAAGAGAGCGCUUGAGUAAAGAAUGAAGAAUGACAGAGAGGAAGACGGUCAGAAGCUUGGAGAUACAGUCCCUCAAAGGUUGGCAAGAUUCCACUGCUGUCCUGGAGCUGCUAAGGAAGCUCUUCCUGCUGUCCAAAUAGCAUGUGAAAUCUUGCUGGGCAAGGGAGCAGAGGCCAAGGGUGCAUCCCAGAAUGACACAUCCCAGGACGAUGAUGCAGGGAGGGCUCACAGGAAAGGGCUCUGCAGCUGCAGGACGUUCCCCAUGGAAGGAGAGCAGCCCUGGACAUCCAAAGUGCCACACACACACCGCUGGUUUCCCCAGAUCUGCAGUGCUGGCUCAGCCCCAGCAGUCUGCUGCUUCAGGAAGAGAUCCAUGAGAAAUAUCGGCUGGAUUUCAGCUUCUUCCUUCUCAGGUGCCCUGUUACACUCACUUUGAAGUCCCUGUAUGACUUAAAGGCAGAAAUCCAAAGAGCCUGCUGCAAACUGAGCUGUGAGGAUUGCUCUGAUCGCCAGCGUUUCCUGCCAGCUGCUGACAGCGCUUUGAACAUAGUGAGGUCUGGCUCACAAACACUGGUGGAUAAAUAGGUCCUGGCAAGAGAAAUCAGGGGAAUGAUUUGGUUUGCACGAGGCCACUGGAUCCCUUUGCUUUCUGCAAAAGAUCCCAGAGUGCGGCAGCAGAGCGAUGUGCUACGGGAUGCAGGAGCAGAACAGAACACACAUUUCUGGAAGCAGCCAGCAAUGCCAAAAGACUGCAGCUAAGUAAAGGCAAAAGACACUACUUGGGGUGCAGUGAGGUGGAACGUACGUGCUGAUUGUCAGAAUUACUGCAGCUGAAGUUACCGUGGGUAUAUGAAGCCCACAGUCGUGUCUCAGCAGAUGCUCAUAAGUUUACCCUUAAGAGAGACUGCCACGGAUGGAGGAACGGAAAUCCCUUUUCCUGCUACAUGGCUGGUGUCUGAGCAGCAUAGGCAGAGGGCUCUAUAUUCACUCUGUCCUUUAGCCUGGCUUUUGCUUGAAAACUGCAGGAGAAAACCAAGGAGGAUGAAUUAUGCUGCUGUGAAAACACUCAGUGCACAUCUCUAAUCAGGCAAGACAGAAUAACACCUAAAGCAGAGUCCCAGAGCUGAAAAGAAACAAGAGCUGGUUAUGGCGUAACAUUAGGUACAGACUUUGCACAUUAGUAUUUACUAGGCUAGAAAAAUUUAAAACUCUCAUUUGAACUACCUGAUUGGGAAAAAAAAAACCCACAAACAUUUUAAUCUGACUGCUGGUCUGUAAAGCUAAUUUGAAAAAUUGUGCUGUUGCAACUUGGCUAAAAAAUUAUAAUGAAUUGAAGUGGAAAUGCCUGGUUCUGGAGACUUGCCUGUCCCAAUGGGAAAGUGUCUUUUCCAACGCUUCCAUGGGCAAAAAGACCAGGAUAGAAAACAAGGGCCUGUUCCUGCCCGUGCUUAGACAGGUAUGGAGCUUCAAGCCCUGCCUGCUGCACUCUCUCCCCAUCCCCAAACCAAGACAUCCCCUUACUGCCCUGCACCUGAGCCUUCCUUCUCCCACAUCUCCAGUGUACCCUUCUCAAACCAGCUGUCCCAGCUUUCCCUGGCACUGUCCCUUGUGUCCCAGCACCCACAGUAACAAAUAACUCCAGCGGUGCAAAUCUCAAAGGGAAGGCUGCCAGCACAGCCUGAGCCCUUUCACACUUCAGCUGUUCCCUAUUUAAAAACAUGCACCUUUAAGCAAGAUAAAUUUAGACUGGAAAUGAUCUCCCAGCCUUGUUGCUUCUAUAUUUUUCUCUGAUACUGUAAAGAGCUCUUUGGUGAGAGAAAUUUUUUCCUCAGCUAUUUAAAAUCAAGAUCAGAUCCUUUUUUUUACCUUUCUCUCUGAUACUGAAUAGUGCUUUUCUAAGAAAUAGUCCUCGUGGGACCAACACUAGUAAAAAGGCUGGCUCUGAGGAUGGCUUCCCAUCUACAAUUAUUUUGUGCGGUUUUGUACAGUCAGGUCCCAGUCUGUUCCCAUGGUUUCCGUUAGUUUGUAUAAAGAGGACACCUAUAUUUCUCCCUUGGCUUCCCAACACUGAGCUGUGGACAUGCAGGACUUGAGUGGACAUUCACACACUGCAGUCAACCUGCUCCCCAGAGUAAACAGGACCUCACUGGUGUCCAGCAGUCCUGUUGGGGCCACUGUCCUGACUGCUUUACUGGGUGCCCAGAAAUACCACGGAUCUUUCCCAAAUCUUUCUCUGGAUGCCCCUUCCCAUACGCUGGGCAAAGUUUCCACAUAGAAAAAGGCAAAGCCUGAUGUUCACUACCCACUAUGCGUAUCCUGACACCACCUUUGGCUUGGAAGCCUCCAGCCUGUGGAGCCUUCCAAGCUGUGUAAGCAAAACAGGCUGAUGGAAAGGCUCAGGCUGAUGUAGCUACUCUGAAGCUCCAAUACCUUCUUCCUCAUAGCUCCAACCCCUCACAGAGCCUCGCUGACUAAUUCUCCUCCCAGGCACUGAAGCUCUUAACUCCACUAAUUAGACCUUGGCCUGGGUCAGGAAACGACCUUUGUGCUCUGUGCAGCUGGAGAGCCUGCCUCUCUCCUUGCUCAGAGGCGCUGCGGAGGGCGAGGUGCUUGGGCAAACAGUGCUGAUAAGGGGAAGGACAUAUGGCUUUGCUGGCUCAGCACUGGAGGUGGCUUCUUACCACACCCGCCUGCAAAGAAAGAGGAAAUGUUUGUCCUGGGAAGGAGGAGGAGGUGGAAGGAGCCACCCUCACGCUUAGCACAGCCCAGGCAAGAGAAAAGGCUUUGGUCAAGCCGCUGUGAAUUUGUUCAGGGCUCUCGGGGAGAAUUAUAUGACAACGCUGUAGAAUGGGUGAAGGGCACAGCUGGCAGGCUCACUAUUCACCUCUGGUUUUUUCUGAUCCCGUGGAGUGCAACACCUUCAGAUGCUGGAUCCCCUGCCCUCGGCUCUCUCAUGGUGGGACGUCUACACUCUUAAAUCUCAGCGGUGGCAUUAGGUGUCCCUGCCCAUGGCAGGGGGAUUGGAACUAGAUGAUCUUUAAGGUUCCUUUCAGCCCAAGCCAUUCUCUGAUUCUAUGAUUCAAUGUGCCUGCAGUCUGGGUGUGCUGCACAAUACACAGAGAUCCUGACACAUCCGCAUCCUGCCCUGGGCAAAACCAUUGUGGCUGUGGAAACCUGUGAUCACUUCAGCCAACAACUUUUUUGGUGCAAAAUAUUUGGUUUUAGCAGUUAGGACAAAGCAUGAUGGUGAGAGGAUAUUAAACCAGUAAGCAUACUUGCAUGUUGUGUCUCAUCUAGCCUUAGUGAAUCCUGAAGACUUUGAGAUGGGAUUUACUGGAGCAGAAAUGAACCAACUUGAUCACACAGUAGGAAGCUUGGUUGCUCCUGAGUGCCUGCAGCUCUUAAGCUCCUUGUGAUGAGGGAGACAGCAUUGCAGACAGCUGUAGCAUUGAGGUAGCUUGCCCUGCCACAGUCUAGUAAUGGCCCUUCUGACCAGAAGUGUCAGGUGGUCUCUAGGAAAGGCCUCAAGAUCCCAUUCCUCAGAUGCCACAGGGGAAACAGCUGUUCCAUUGCGCUGCGACAGAAGGACCACGGCGAUGAUACCCGGCACAAUAUUGGUAAUCCUCAAAAAGUAUCCAAUAUCCAUUCUUCCAAGAAAAGGCUGAGUCCAGGCUGGAGAAGCCUGGUGUUAGUGAACAUGUUCCAACCUGCUAUGAAAGUCUCUAGAGAAGUUAAGCCCUGACCACUUUGGGGUAGCUGCUGCCCUUCAGGCUUUGAAUGGGGCUCACAGCAAUUGAAGGGCACACGUCACAGCCGAGCCUUAGCCAGCCCUGCUCUGAAUAAACACAGAAGUACUAUAGUAGUAUAUCUGGGC
rnacentral:lncRNA from 1 species